UACGUAGGUCCCGAGCGUUGUCCGGAUUUAUUGGGCGUAAAGCGAGCGCAGGUGGUUUAUUAAGUCUGGUGUAAAAGGCAGUGGCUCAACCAUUGUAUGCAUUGGAAACUGGUAGACUUGAGUUCAGGAGAGGAGAGUGGAAUUCCAUGUGUAGCGGUGAAAUGCGUAGAUAUAUGGAGGAACACCGGUGGCGAAAGCGGCUCUCUGGCCUGUAACUGACGCUGAGGCUCGAAAGCGUGGGGAGCAAACAGG
rnacentral:rRNA from 1 species